GACGAACGCUGGCGGCGUGCUUAACACAUGCAAGUCGAACGGAAAGGCCUUGCUUGCCGGGUACUCGAGUGGCGAACGGGUGAGUAACACGUGGGUGAUCUGCCCUGCACUUCGGGAUAACCUUGGGAAACUGGGUCUAAUACCGGAUAGGAGCCAUUUUUAGUGUGAUGGUUGGGAAGUUUUUUCGGUGUAGGAUGGGCUCGCGGCCUAUCAGCUUGUUGGUGGGGUAAUGGCCUACCAAGGCGGUGACGGGUAGCCGGCCUGAGAGGGUGGACGGCCACAUUGGGACUGAGAUACGGCCCAGACUCCUACGGGAGGCAGCAGUGGGGAAUAUUGCACAAUGGGCGCAAGCCUGAUGCAGCGACGCCGCGUGGGGGAUGACGGCCUUCGGGUUGUAAACUGCUUUCGCUAGGGACGAAGCUUUUUGUGACGGUACCUAGAUAAGAAGCACCGGCUAACUACGUG
rnacentral:rRNA from 1 species